rnacentral:rRNA from 1 species
UCCGGUUGAUCCUGCCGGAGGCCAUUGCUAUCGGAGUCCGAUUUAGCCAUGCUAGUUGCACGAGUUCAGACUCGUAGCAUAUAGCUCAGUAACACGUGGCCAAACUACCCUACAGACCGCAAUAACCUCGGGAAACUGAGGCCAAUAGCGGAUAUUACUCUCAGACUGGAGUGUCGAGAAUAAGAAAUGUUCUGGCGCUGUAGGAUGUGGCUGCGGCCGAUUAGGUAGAUGGUGGGGUAACGGCCCACCAUGCCGAUAAUCGGUACGGGUUGUGAGAGCAAGAGCCCGGAGACGGUAUCUGAGACAAGAUACCGGGCCCUACGGGGCGCAGCAGGCGCGAAACCUUUACAAUGCACGUCAGUGCGAUAGGGGGACUCCAAGUGUGAGGGCAUAUAGCCCUCGCUUUUCUGUACCGUAAGGUGGUACAAGAAUAAGGACUGGGCAAGACCGGUGCCAGCCGCCGCGGUAAUACCGGCAGUCCGAGUGAUGGCCGAUAUUAUUGGGCCUAAAGCGUCCGUAGCUUGCCGUGUAAGUCUAUCGGGAAAUCGACCAGCUCAACUGGUCGGCGUCCGGUAGAAACUACGCGGCUUGGGGCCGAGAGACUUGACAGGUACGUCCAGGGUAGGAGUGAAAUCCUGUAAUCCUGAACGGACCACCAAUGGGGAAACCAUGUCAAGAGACCGGACCCGACAGUGAGGGACGAAAGCCAGGGUCUCGAACCGGAUUAGAUACCCGGGUAGUCCUGGCCGUAAACAAUGCUCGCUAGGUAUGUCACGCGCCAUGAGCACGUGAUGUGCCGUAGUGAAGACGAUAAGCGAGCCGCCUGGGAAGUACGUCUGCAAGGAUGAAACUUAAAGGAAUUGGC